rnacentral:rRNA from 1 species
AUUGAACGCUGGCGGCAUGCCUAACACAUGCAAGUCGAACGAGUGGCGGACGGGUGAGUAAUGUCUGGGAAACUGCCUGAUGGAGGCGGCUAACUACUGGAAACGGUAGCUAAUACCGCAUACCCUCGGAUGUGCCCAGAUGGGAUUAGCUAGUAGGCGGGGUAAAGGCUCACCUAGGCGACGAUCCCUAGCUGGUCUGAGAGGAUGACCAGCCACAGUGGAACUGAUACACGGUCCAGAGUGCUGCGGGAGGCAGCAGUGGGGAAUAUUGCACAAUGGGCGCAAGCCUGAUGCAGCCAUGCCGCGUGUAUGAAGAAGGCAUUCGGGUUGUAAAGUACUUUCAUCGGGGAGGCGUUACCCGCAGAAGAAGCACCGGCUAACUCCGUGCCAGCAGCCGCGGUAAUUC